CCUACGGGUGGCAGCAGUGAGGAAUAUUGGUCAAUGGCCGUAAGGCUGAACCAGCCAAGUCGCGUGAAGGAAGAAGGAUCUAUGGUUUGUACACUUCUUUUAUAGGGGAAUAAAGGUAUCCACGUGUGGAUAUUUGCAUGUACCCUAUGAAUAAGCAUAGGCUAACUCCGUGCCAGCAGCCGCGGUAAUACGGAGGAUGUGAGCGUUAUCCGGAUUUACUGGGUUUAACGGGUGCGUAGGUUGUUUUUUAAGUCAGCGGUGAAAGUUUGUGGAUCAAACAGAAAAUUGCCGUGGAUACUGGAAGACUAGAGUGUGUUUGAGGUAGGCGGAAUGCGUGGUGUAGCGGUGAAAUGCAUAGAUAUCACGCAGAACUCCGGUUGCGAAGGCAGCUUACUAAGCCAUAACUGACACUGAAGCACGAAAGCGUGGGGAGCAAACAGGAUUAGAUACCCGGGUAGUC
rnacentral:rRNA from 1 species